rnacentral:misc_RNA from 1 species
GUCCUCUUCAAUUUGCUUCUGCUCUCUCUUGAGCUUUUUCCUAUCUUGCCAGUUUAACACCUUACGUUUCUUGUUCGCAACUUCAGGCUUAUUUGAUGCCGUUUUAGAGGGAAAAGAAGAAGCUCCAGGAGGAAGAAAGUGAGAAAGGUCUCCCAUGUAAUCAUCUUCUUCAUUUUCCGCCAUUGUUGCUAACUGCAAGCUACGGAAUCGGAUGCUUCUAAAUUGUUGAAAUAUAUUCCCCUUCCUUCAAACUUUUUUUUU